CCUGGUUGAUUCUGCCAGUAUGUCAUAUGCUUGUCUCAAAGAUUAAGCCAUGCAUGUCUAAGUAUAAGCAACUUUGUACUGUGAAACUGCGAAUGGCUCAUUAAAUCAGUUAUAGUUUAUUUGAUGGUUUUUGCUACAUGGAUAACUGUGGUAAUUCUAGAGCUAAUACAUGCAUUCAAGCCCCGACUUCUGGAAGGGGUGUAUUUAUUAGAUAAAAAUCAACUUUGUUGGUGAAUCAUAAUAACUUCUCGGACCGCAUGGCCUUGUGCUGGCGGUGCUUCAUUCAAAUAUCUGCCCUAUCAACUGUCGAUGGUAGGAUAGAGGCCUACCAUGGUUGCAACGGGUAACGGGGAAUAAGGGUUCGAUUCCGGAGAGGGAGCCUGAGAAACGGCUACCACAUCCAAGGAAGGCAGCAGGCGCGCAAAUUACCCAAUCCCAACACGGGGAGGUAGUGACAAUAUGUAACAAUAUACGGCCUUAUACGUCGUAUAAUUGGAAUGAGUACAAUUUAAAUCCCUUAACGAGGAACAAUUGGAGGGCAAGUCUGGUGCCAGCAGCCGCGGUAAUUCCAGCUCCAAUAGCGUAUAUUAAAGUUGUUGCAGUUAAAAAGCUCGUAGUUGGACCUUGGACCUGGACAGGCGGUCCGCCUCACGGCGAGUACUGUCUUGCUGGGUCUUUCCUCUUGGUGAUCUGUUGUUUCGGCAGCAGGGAACCAGGACCUUUACUUUGAAAAAAUUAGAGUGUUCAAAGCAGGCUCGACGCCGGAAUAUAUU
rnacentral:rRNA from 1 species